UUCUCUUUUUGGUUACAAAAGCUAGCUGUUAUUGGCAUUGUGGUUGUUACAGUGUUUCAGUGUAUUGGCAUCACCCGCAAUUUAGGUGGUCAUGUUGUUCACUGUGUAUUUCGACUAAUUUCGUAUAUCUGUCCAUUCACUUGUUGUGGUUGAGGCUAUGUGCGGACAUACUCAUAGGGUCUUGUCGGCAGACCAUGCGGGUCCAUGCCGUAAACUAUGUGAAACCUAAGGUUUGUGUCAUGUGGCUAGCUAUUGAUAGAUAGAAUAGGUAGAUGUUGUACAAUCUACAAAAAUGUGGUUUACAGAAUCAGGCAGAAAAUUUGAUUCUGCCACAAGGACAAGACUUAAAUUUAAAAGAGAGACUACAGACUCGAUUAAUAUGGAUGAAAUUGUGGAUCGUUGGGCAAAAACACGACGUUUGAUAAGUGUUGGAUAAUAUUACUAAUAUAGGAAGCGUUUCUUCAAUGAAAUUUUAGAAUUAAAAACCAGGAACGAUGAGUCGAUGAUUCUACAAACUAUAUAGUUCACUAAUUCUG